GUGGGGAAUAUUGGGCAAUGGGCGAAAGCCUGACCCAGCAACGCCGCGUGAGGGAAGAAGGUUUUCGGAUUGUAAACCUCUGUCCUCAGGGACGAAGGGAGUGACGGUACCUGAGGAGGAAGCCCCGGCUAACUACGUGCCAGCAGCCGCGGUAAUACGUAGGGGGCGAGCGUUGUCCGGAAUGACUGGGCGUAAAGGGCGUGUAGGCGGCUUUUUAAGUCUGGAGUGAAAGCCCCAUUUUCAAGGUGGGGACUGCUUUGGAGACUGGAGAGCUUGAGUGCGGAAGAGGUAAGUGGAAUUCCCAGUGUAGCGGUGAAAUGCGUAGAGAUUGGGAGGAACACCAGUGGCGAAGGCGACUUACUGGGCCGUAACUGACGCUGAGGCGCGAAAGCGUGGGGAGCGAACAGGA
rnacentral:rRNA from 1 species